rnacentral:rRNA from 1 species
AACGAACGCUGGCGGCAGGCUUAACACAUGCAAGUCGAACGAGAACGCGCCUUCGGGCGUUAUUAAAGUGGCAGACGGGUGCGUAACACGUGGGAAUCUACCCAGUUCUACGGAAUAGCCAUUGGAAACGAUGAUUAAUACCGUAUAAUCCCUCCGGGGGAAAGAUUUAUCGGAAUUGGAUGAGCCCGCGGCUGAUUAGUUUGUUGGUAGGGUAAUGGCCUACCAAGACUACGAUCAGUAGCUGGUCUGAGAGGAUGAUCAGCCACACUGGAACUGAGACACGGUCCAGACUCCUACGGGAGGCAGCAGUGGGGAAUAUUGCACAAUGGGCGCAAGCCUGAUGCAGCCAUGCCGCGUGAGUGAUGACGGCCUUCGGGUUGUAAAGCUCUUUUAAUAGGGAAGAUAAUGACGGUACCUAUAGAAUAAGCCCCGGCUAACUUCG